CAGUAGCCGCGGUAAAACGAAGGGUGCAAGCGUUACUCGGAAUUACUGGGCGUAAGGCGUGUGUAGGUGGUUGUUUAAGUCUGUCGUGAAAGCCCUGGGCUCAACCUGGGAAUUGCGAUGGAUACUGGGCGACUAGAGUGCGGUAGAGGAUAGUGGAAUUUCCGGUGUAGCAGUGAAAUGCGUAGAGAUCGGAAGGAACAUCUGUGGUGAAGGCGACUAUCUGGGCCAACACUGACACUGAGACACGAAAGCGUGGGGAGCAAACAGGAUUAGAUACCCGCGUAGUCCCUGUCUCUUAUAC
rnacentral:rRNA from 1 species